ensembl:snRNA U6 U6 spliceosomal RNA
AUGCUCACUUCAGCAGUACAUAUACUAAAACUGGGAACAAUACAGAGAAGAUUAGCAUGGUUCCUGCACAAGGAUGACAUGCAAAUUCAUGAAACAUUCCACAAAAAG